CACGGAACCUCGAAUAGGAGUUGCUGCCGAGGCCGGGGCCUGUCUUUGACGAUAGACAGGGGCAAACAGGCAUUUCAUCAUGGGUAGCUUUUUCUCAAGUACUUUUUCCAGGCUGUUUGGAACCCAGGAAAUGAGGAUUUUAAUUUUGGGGUUAGAAGGAGCAGGGAAAACUACAAUUUUGUACAGAUUACAGGUUGGAGAAGUCGUUACUACUAUUCCUACCAUUGGAUUUAAUGUUGAGAUAGUAACAUAUAAGAAAUUUAAAUUCAAAGUCUGGGAUUUAGGAGGACAGACAAGUAUUAGGCCAUACUGGAGAUGUUGUUAUUCAAACACAGAUGCAGUCAUUUAUGUAGUAGACAGGUGUGACCAAGACCGAACUGACAUUUCCAAAUCAGAGUUAGUUGCCGUGUUGGAGGAAGAGGAGCUGAGAAAAGCCAUUUUAGUGGUGUUUGCAAAUAAGCAGGACAUGGAACAGGCCAUGACUCCUUCAGAGAUGGCAAAUUCACUUGGGUUACCUGCCUUGAAGGACCGAAAAUGGCAGACAUUCAAAACUUCAGCAACCAAAGGCACUUGCCUUGAUGAGGCAUUGGAAUGGUUAGUUGAAACAUUAAAGAGAAGACAGUAAUUCAAUCACCUCUGCUCCUCUGAAACAAAGACCACAUCACAUAUCCCUUUGGAAACAGUGAAGUGUGCUUCACACUACUAAAUGUUAAAACUGUAUGAUUGUUGGCAUGUACUGAACUGACUGCAACAUUUAUAAUAAAUAUAAAAAAUAAGUAUUUGCUUGGAAGGGUAACCCAUCGUGAUUGAACCAACUGAAUGUCCUGUGUAACGUAAAAAAAUCCUUUCUUGCUUUCUUGUGUUAAGGUACAUAUUCUCUUUGUAUGGAAUUCUUAUUCACAUAUAGUCCUAUUAAAGAAUGUACUCUUAUUGAGGAAAAAAA